rnacentral:rRNA from 1 species
UACGGGGGGCGCAAGCGUUGUCCGGAAUUAUUGGGCGUAAAGAGCUCGUAGGCGGUUUGUCGCGUCUGCUGUGAAAACCUGAGGCUCAACCUCGGGCUUGCAGUGGGUACGGGCAGACUAGAGUGCGGUAGGGGUGACUGGAAUUCCUGGUGUAGCGGUGGAAUGCGCAGAUAUCAAGGAGGAACACCAAUAGCGGAAGGCAGCUCGCUGGGACGGUAACU